rnacentral:tRNA from 1 species
GGCCUCGUAGCUCAGUUGGUUGAGCGUGCGCGUACAAUGAGUAGGCGGCGUCCAUGCGUGGGUUCGAAUCCCACUGAGGCUA